UGGAGAGACAGGGAAUCGAACCCUGGACCUCUCGCAUGCAAAGCGAGCGCUCUACCAACUGAGCUAUGUCCCC
rnacentral:tRNA from 1 species